AGGAAGGAGAUGGGUUCCUUCCACUUGCUCCGAGGAGUCCUGUUUCUGGCAAACACAAAGAUUCUAAGAAAUGGUCUCCUUUUGGUCACAUCUAGGCAGUAAGAGGACAAAUGAAGAGAGGCACCAGAAGCCAAGACUCCAGCAGAGGACUUGCUGGGGAUAGUGGAGUUGCCAGAAGUUACCAGAAGAUGAUGAUUGGAGCUCCGGUUGCCAUCUUGGACCAUGAGGAUGAAGAAUGUGGAGGGGUGAGCUGAAAAGAACUUGGAUUCUUCAUGACCUUGUGGUGCCACUCUGCUAGUCCUGGAUUUCUUGCAUCUAGACUUCAUUUACAUGUGAGUAAAAUAAA